rnacentral:rRNA from 1 species
AAAUUGAAGAGUUUGAUCAUGGCUCAGAUUGAACGCUGGCGGCAGGCCUAACACAUGCAAGUCGAACGGUAACAGGAAGCAGCUUGCUGCUUUGCUGACGAGUGGCGGACGGGUGAGUAAUGUCUGGGAAACUGCCUGAUGGAGGGGGAUAACUACUGGAAACGGUAGCUAAUACCGCAUAAUGUCGCAGGACCAAAGAGGGGGACCUUCGGGCCUCUUGCCAUCAGAUGUGCCCAGAUGGGAUUAGCUUGUUGGUGAGGUAACGGCUCACCAAGGCGACGAUCCCUAGCUGGUCUGAGAGGAUGACCAGCCACACUGGAACUGAGACACGGUCCAGACUCCUACGGGAGGCAGCAGUGGGGAAUAUUGCACAAUGGGCGCAAGCCUGAUGCAGCCAUGCCGCGUGUAUGAAGAAGGCCUUCGGGUUGUAAAGUACUUUCAGCGGGGAGGAAGGGGAUAAGGCUAAUAACCUUGUUCAUUGACGUUACCCGCAGAAGAAGCACCGGCUAACUCCGUGCCAGCAGCCGCGGUAAUACGGAGGGUGCAAGCGUUAAUCGGAAUUACUGGGCGUAAAGCGCACGCAGGCGGUCUGUCAAGUCGGAUGUGAAAUCCCCGGGCUCAACCUGGGAACUGCAUUCGAAACUGGCAGGCUUGAGUCUUGUAGAGGGGGGUAGAAUUCCAGGUGUAGCGGUGAAAUGCGUAGAGAUCUGGAGGAAUACCGGUGGCGAAGGCGGCCCCCUGGACAAAGACUGACGCUCAGGUGCGAAAGCGUGGGGAGCAAACAGGAUUAGAUACCCUGGUAGUCCACGCCGUAAACGAUGUCUACUUGGAGGUUGUGCCCUUGAGGCGUGGCUUCCGGAGCUAACGCGUUAAGUAGACCGCCUGGGGAGUACGGCCGCAAGGUUAAAACUCAAAUGAAUUGACGGGGGCCCGCACAAGCGGUGGAGCAUGUGGUUUAAUUCGAUGCAACGCGAAGAACCUUACCUGGUCUUGACAUCCACAGAACCCUGUAGAGAUACGGGGGUGCCUUCGGGAGCUGUGAGACAGGUGCUGCAUGGCUGUCGUCAGCUCGUGUUGUGAAAUGUUGGGUUAAGUCCCGCAACGAGCGCAACCCUUAUCCUUUGUUGCCAGCGGUCCGGCCGGGAACUCAAAGGAGACUGCCAGUGAUAAACUGGAGGAAGGUGGGGAUGACGUCAAGUCAUCAUGGCCCUUACGACCAGGGCUACACACGUGCUACAAUGGCGCAUACAAAGAGAAGCGACCUCGCGAGAGCAAGCGGACCUCAUAAAGUGCGUCGUAGUCCGGACUGGAGUCUGCAACUCGACUCCAUGAAGUCGGAAUCGCUAGUAAUCGUGGAUCAGAAUGCCACGGUGAAUACGUUCCCGGGCCUUGUACACACCGCCCGUCACACCAUGGGAGUGGGUUGCAAAAGAAGUAGGUAGCUUAACCUUCGGGAGGGCGCUUACCACUUUGUGAUUCAUGACUGGGGUGAAGUCGUAACAAGGUAACCGUAGGGGAACCUGCGGUUGGAUCACCUCCUUA